AAGAAUUGCUCAAACACGUUAUCGACAGAUGUCUAUUACUUCAAUCGAUUUUAUCGUGCCUGGACAUAUGGUUUUGUCAGAAAUCAACAGGAUUCGUAAAAAAAAAUAUACAUGAGAAUGAUUCUCAAGAUAUAAAUGGAAAAUGAAAUUUGGUGAAAACAUGAACGGGUUCUAAUGAUUCAAGAUGGUAGAAAUGAGGCAUCAAAUUGAACAUGAUAUUGUAAGGGUUAAGAUUCCAACGGAAUCUCUUUCUCCAUGUGUGACAAUACGAUAUUACGACAACUUGGAACAACGACAUCGGUCCAACCAAACCUCGUACGUGAUUGACCUGUUGAAAUGGAAAGAGACAAGUUAC